rnacentral:lncRNA from 1 species
ACCAUUGCCGAAUCGAACAUUAUGCACACCAAAAUCGUGGACCCUUUUGGUCUAGCCAGGGGUUAUGGAUGCUGAGUAAAAUGGAAUGAAUGCGGUGACUGUCGGCGGGGGGUGUAGGCGAUGAGUCGUGGUGGCAGAUGGAGGGAAGGCAAAAACAAGCGGAAACUGGAAGAGAGGAUGCGCGGCGGUUGCUAUGGGCGUUGCUGUGCGAGGUGGGAUGUACUACGCUGCGUCUCGAUAUAGCGCCUCAUGCUUUCCUGUGUUUUCUUCGGCAAAUCUGUGCAGCCAGGGGGAUAAAAAUUCUUCGAAAAAUAAGGUUACAUUAAAUACAACCACCUACUGGUUGAUGUCUCCCGUUGGGGGGCGCUUUUGUCCCUGAAACAUCUCACCCAUCGACCCCCACGUCGAACAAUCGGAUCUUGGGAGACAAUCUGAGGACGACGACGAGGCGUUUCCAGCUGUCUAGUCUCGACCACGACACGGUCACUUCUAAAGCCCCUGUUUAUACAGAGACAGCAGACGGGACCCAGACAAAACAUGCUCCUGGGAUGACAACCAAAGCUAGGAACCAUCGUAUAUUCAGCACUUGAGGGAAACUGGAAAAUGGAAUAUCGCAAACAGUUAACGUUACAGUGGAUGACGACAAGCAAGACCUGAUACUUUUUAUUUUUUAUUUUGUGUUGGUUGUAAGAGGAAUAACAUUACAACUUUUGCCCACAACGCUGAUUCAUCUGUGGGAUUCAACCGAACGCAAGCUUCAUUUUAGCGAUAUAGAAGGAUUUAGUUAACGUUAGAUUUGAAUUUGAAAACAACUUGGUUAACUUAGCUAACACACCCAGGGGUACUUUUGAAGUAGCUAGCUAGCGUUAGGUAUCGUUAGCUAAUGUUACCGUUGGAAAGAACGCGAAAAAGAAAGUUUCCUUUUAAUCUGGCAAAUGGUCGCUUACCCUAUUUGAAAAUAGUCGUAUCUCUAGCCGCAGUUUAGUGUGAUGCCUAUCUUCCUAGACCUGGAAAUUUGGCCAUGAGGUUUUCCAGAAAGAUGACUUUUAUAUUUGAAGGCCUCUUGGACGUAUGUCAAAUCCAAAUAUCUAUGGACUUGCUAAGUUAGCUGAUGUUGGCUAAUAAGUCAGCCCGACAGAAUACGCCGUUGUUGUUCAACAUAGGUCCCAUUUGAGCCAUGCAUUCGGCAUGUGACGUUACUUGUAUUCUUCUUUAAUUGUGAAAGGUAGCAUCAUGGAUUAUGCGGGUCAUUUUCGUAUAAUCGCAGCAACUAGCUGGUAGAAACACAUCUUGCUAAGUGGUCUGCGUUAGCUAGCUAGCAAGUAA